AUGGACCCAACUGAGAUUUUGAACGUUCGGUUUCAUAUUGGAGGGAAGUUCAUCCGCAUUGGUCCAAAUUUAGACUAUGUUGGGGGAGAUCAAGCAAUGUCAGAGAUUGAGAGGGAUAAAUUGUCUCUGCAGGAAGUGAAAGGCUAUUUAAAAGAUCAUACUCAGUUGAUGGAAUCGAUGAAGUUCUAUUUUCUGCUUCCUGGAAAAGAGCUUAUCAAUGGCUUGGUGUUCCUUAAUGAUGACAGUUGGUGUGUGAAGAUGGCUGAGUACAUUUGUGUUGGAGGAGUUGCUGAUGUGUAUGUGGAGUAUCAUGGAGAGGAAGAUAGCAAUGACAGCAGCAGUGGGAGUGAUUUUGAGGAUGAAAUCAUGGAACAGAGUGAUGAUGAUGAACUAGAUGCAGUUAUAACUGCUGAAGAACCAGAUGCAGUUAUAACUGCUGAUGAACCAGAUGCAUUAACUGGUGUUGAACAUGCAGAGUCUGACACUGAUGUGCUCAUACCCGAUGAAACUGGUGUGAUCACUCAAAGAAUUUGCAGCCCCUUGAAGCAGAGAAGAAGCAAUGCCAGAGAAGUAGAUGUGGAUGAAAUGGCAGGCAUGGAAGGAGUUUUUUCUCAGGUUUUGGAUCCAAGUCAACCUGCAUCAGCCUGUGCUUCUGAACCUCAGGCUUCAGGGCAUGUCAAUAACCAAAUGGUGAUAGCUGCAAAUGUUGACAGUGGCAAUCAAAAUUCAGACUCAGACAGUGACACUGAAUACAUUGGACAUACUGAUUGA
rnacentral:rRNA from 1 species